GUAGCAUUGUGGCCAAGUGGUAAGGCCUCAGUCUUGUAAACUGAAGAUCAUAGGUUCAGACCCCCUCCACAACA